UACGUAGGGGGCAAGCGUUGUCCGGAAUCAUUGGGCGUAAAGCGCGCGUAGGCGGCCCGGUACGUCCGUUGUGAAAGUCAAAGGCUCAACCUUUGAACGCCGAUGGAUACUGCCGGGCUAGAGUCCGGAAGAGGCGAGUGGAAUUCCUGGUGUAGCGGUGGAAUGCGCAGAUAUCAGGAGGAACACCAAUAGCGAAGGCAGCUCGCUGGGACGGUACUGACGCUGAGGCGCGAAAGCGUGGGGAGCGAACAGG
rnacentral:rRNA from 1 species